AGAGUUUGAUCCUGGCUCAGAACGAACGCUGGCGGCAGGCCUAACACAUGCAAGUCGAGCGCCCCGCAAGGGGAGCGGCGGACGGGUGAGUAACGCGUGGGAACGUACCCUCUUCUACGGAAUAGCCUCGGGAAACUGGGAGUAAUACCGUAUACGCCCUUUGGGGGAAAGAUUUAUCGGAGGAGGAUCGGCCCGCGUUGGAUUAGGUAGUUGGUGGGGUAAUGGCCUACCAAGCCGACGAUCCAUAGCCGGUUUGAGAGGAUGAUCAGCCACACUGGGACUGAGACACGGCCCAGACUCCUACGGGAGGCAGCAGUGGGGAAUCUUAGACAAUGGGCGCAAGCCUGAUCUAGCCAUGCCGCGUGAGCGAUGAAGGCCUUAGGGUUGUAAAGCUCUUUCAGGGGGGAAGAUAAUGACUGUACCCCCAGAAGAAGCCCCGGCUAACUCCGUGCCAGCAGCCGCGGUAAUACGGGGGGUGCAAGCGUUGUUCGGAAUUAUUGGGCGUAAAGCGCGUGUAGGCGGUUUGAUUAGUCUGAUGUGAAAGCCCUGGGCUCAACCCAGGAAGUGCAUUGGAAACUGUCAGACUUGAAUACGGGAGAGGGUAGUGGAAUUCCUAGUGUAGGAGUGAAAUCCGUAGAUAUUAGGAGGAACACCGGUGGCGAAGGCGGCUACCUGGACCGAUAUUGACGCUGAGACGCGAAAGCGUGGGUAGCAAACAGGAUUAGAUACCCUGGUAGUCC
rnacentral:rRNA from 1 species